ACGCAGGAGUUGAUAUUGCCGGUGGAGACUCCAACGGAGCCUCAGUGGAAGACAAAGGUCUUGUUUGAAAGUGUGGAUCAGUGGCACAAGAAGAAGCUCUUGCUAUUCGCGAGUCCCUAGCUUUGGCUUCGGUUUUCCACCCCAAGUGACGACAAUGAUCCGGUGCUGCUGCUGUGUCAGUCGUCAAGGAUUCUACCCCUGUGCAUUGAAGGGGAGGUAGAAGCAGCAACUGCAUAUCAUGCAUCCUUAACAGUAGUGUUCUUAUAGCUGUAAGUAGGAAAGCAAAUCAUGCCGCAGAUUGGAUAGCCAAGGCAGAUAGGUCCACAAUUCUUCCUUCUAAUUGGGUUCAUAACCAACCCCCUUAACAAUUUUCUUGUAUAUGCUAGCGAAGGAUUAAAGGAAUACGGAGCCGUGUGGAAUCAACACACUGAGUGCUUAGAAAAGAUGAACAUAAUCUCCAAGAAAAUAACAAAAUUGAAAUAAAGAUAUAAUUUCAAAAUGAAUAAUGUUGUAUCCAUAACAGAUUUCCGAUUGUAACAACAGAUGCUUUUAUUUUCGAGUUAAGCCGAGAUCAUUAGGAUUUUUACUUGGAGCGAACUCGCCGUUGUUGGGUAGCUAGAGCAGCGAGCAUAAUUCCUUCUAUUCUUUGCCAUAUUUCUUUCUUAAUCGUUCUCUGACAAAAUCAUUACGAGCUUUGAUACGAGCUCGUU